UACGUAGGGUGCAAGCGUUAAUCGGAAUUACUGGGCGUAAAGGGUGCGCAGGCGGUUGAUUAAGUCAGAUGUGAAAUCCCCGGGCUCAACCUGGGAAUGGCAUUUGAGACUGAUUAGCUAGAGUGUGUCAGAGGGGGGUAGAAUUCCACGUGUAGCAGUGAAAUGCGUAGAGAUGUGGAGGAACACCGAUGGCGAAGGCAGCCCCCUGGGAUAACACUGACGCUCAGGCACGAAAGCGUGGGGAGCAAACAGG
rnacentral:rRNA from 1 species